rnacentral:snRNA from 1 species
AUCGGUUCUCAGCCUUUUGGCUAAGAUCAAAGUGUAGUAUCUGUUCUUAUCAGCUUAAUCUCUGGUAAGGCGCCACGGUAGUCGAACGGUUAGAAGGCGAGACCUGUA